rnacentral:rRNA from 1 species
AUAUGGAAGAACACCAGUGGCGAAGGCGGCUGUCUGGUCUGUAACUGACGCUGAGGCUCGAAAGCAUGGGUAGCGAACAGGAUUAGAUACCCUGGUAGUCCAUGCCGUAAACGAUGAAUGCUAGGUGUUGGAGGGUUUCCGCCCUUCAGUGCCGCAGCUAACGCAUUAAGCAUUCCGCCUGGGGAGUACGACCGCAAGGUUGAAACUCAAAGGAAUUGACGGGGG